CGUGCACUGGUGGGGUCCCUCAGCCUGGCCUGCACCCUCUCCCAACCCAGGACUCUUCAGGAGAUGUCGGAGAGCCGGUUUUGGCCCAAUCCCCGCAGGCCAGGCUGAGGGACCCCACCAGUGCAUG
rnacentral:pre_miRNA from 1 species